UGGGAGGGAUAGGGUAGUUUACAGAGAAGAUUGGUAGUCAUUGGAUCAAGAUGAACUUCUUUCUUCUUUUUGGAGUCAUUGGGCUCGUUUCAGCCUUUCCAUUUACAGAUGUAUUUGAUGAAGUGACUGGACAGGACAUCAAACCUGGUCAGUGCCCAGUCAUUCCAGCUGACCGUGGUACUUCAGGGGUUUGUGUGACAGACUGCCAGACUGACAGUCAUUGUGAUGGGAUCAAGAAAUGUUGCCAGACACCUUGUGGUGGGGCCAUGUGUCAGGAAGCUGUUACCCCUGAACCAGACCAGCCACCACAUGCACUGUCCUUGGUGUCAGAGCAGAUUGAGUCUCAGUGGCAGGAUUGGGUGGAGAAAAAACGUCAGAUGGUCCAGAAGCUUCAACGAUUUCCUGAACCUCCAAGGUUCUUCAAGGAACUCACCAAUACUACAGAUGCUCUGAGUGUGUGCACUUCCAACCCCUGUGAGUGGAAGAAAUGUGUGCGCAUGGCUAGCACAUUCACUUACAAUCUGAAGCCAAGAAGAGAAUGGGCCUGUGCUUUAGCAACAUCACCUGAACAUUGUAUGGAUUGGGUUGAACAGGGUUUUGUUGAUAUGAUGAUAACUCGUAAUGAAGAUAUCUACACUGCUAAGACGAAAUACAAUCUCCUUCCUGCGGCCUAUGAAAGUACACAGACAAAGCAAACUCCUCCAAGUGAGUGGCAGAACAUAACUCUUGCUGUGGCUAAAAUCACAACCAACAUUGACACUUGGGCUCAACUUGAGAAUCGUCAAGUUUGCAUCACUAGUGCCAACAGUACUUCUGGCUUCAAGACCCCAAUCGGGAGUCUUAUCCAGGAGGGAGUUAUUGCCCAAAAGGGAGACUUUGUUCAGAGUGCAGGGGAGUUCUUCAGUGAGAGUUGUGUGCCAGGUAUUCUGAGCAAGACUUUUGAUAAGAAUGGGACAUAUCCUGUGUCCCUUUUGGCAAGAUGUGAAGGCGAGGCUUCCCUGCGCUAUGAGGGUCUUGAUGGUGCCGUUCACUGUUUGAAGGAGGAUGUUGGCGAAGUGAUUUUCAUUGAUCACAAGAAAGUUCAGAGUUUGUUGCUAGAAUCAACAGCUGUAACUCAAUUCAAGCUGAUCUGUAAGUCUGGUAGCCAGCCUUUGACUGAAUGGGAAACCAAGGAUUGCCAUGUUAGCAAGGUACCGCAGCCAACUGUUUACAUCAGCCCACGAAAGACUGAUCUCAAAGCUGUAAUACAGAACCUCUUGGCACGGGCCGUUCAGGUCUACAGUGGUAAAGCAGUUGGCACUUUCAAGCUGUUUGACUCUGAUGAGUACAACUGCCCAACUGGUCACAGUUCUGACAUACUCUUCAAGCAAGAAUCCAAUGUCUUUAUGAACAUUGAUGAAGCAGUCAAGCCACAUGCUGAGCCAUUCUUUAUGCUGAUGGAUACUGUGGAAAGGCUGGUACCUAAGACUGUGUGCAGAGUGUGUGUCACCAAGCCGGAGUUAUAUGAAGGAUGCAAGAUCUACAAAGGGCUGUUUGAGCACGUUGAAAUUACGAAUGAUGUAGCUUGGGGCUGUGUCUUGGCUAAGACCAAGAUGGAAUGCAUGCAGGCUGUCAUGAAUGGAACUGCAGAUUUGAUAACUGCUGACCCUACCGAGAUGUUUAUUGCUGGACGAGAAUUCAAACUACAACCAUUUAUGAGUCAGGAAUUUGAUACAUUAGCCCCUCGAGUGGAUGGCAAGUCUCUGUUUGAUAACACCACUUACACCUACACCAUUGCUGUGAUGACAAAGGAGAAAUUGUUGGAGAAAUAUGGCAAUAAUGUCAGAUUCCUGAACAUGACUGGAUUGAAUCCAUGCUUUGCUGGCAUCAGUAAGCUGUCAUCAUUUAAGCAUCCUAUUGGCUGGCUUCUGGCCAAUGGCACCAUUCCUCGUAUUGGUUCUGUCUUUGAAUCCAUCAGCCGCUUCUUUGAGAAAUCUUGCCUGCCUGGUGCUGCCCCCCAAAAUUGGACAUGGGAUAGGGACCUCAUCCUCGGUCAUGAACUCAACUGGGGCUUCCCAGGUUGGAAUUUCUAUAAUUUCACUGGUUAUGAAUGGUUCAACAUGAACAUGCCCAACACUUGGAACUAUUACAACUGGAAAGGAAUGUCCCCCAGAUUCUUUGACAUCUUCUUUAAGACAAAUACCAAGAAUGAGAUCAAGGAUUUGUUGUCCUCCGUGAGUCUAAGGAAAGCUCCACUUCUUCACAGAAUCCUUAGCACUGAACCAUCAAGUUUGAAGGACUUGUCUAAACUCCUUGAUCAGUUACCUGAUGAAAUCCAUGGGCUUGAUGAUGAGACUGUGAUUCCAAGAGAUCAGGUCAGGUCUCAGACUAGGUGGGGCAUUGACGGAUUGAUCAAGAAAUUAAAAGCAGUGGAUUCCCAAUCUUGGUUGAGGUCUACUGACAAGUCAAAGUAUCAUAAAUCAAAGCCAUUUGACAGAUAUCAGUCAGCUGAGCCCACUUUGACUUCUUUGCUAAACAACCUUGCCUCCAAGCAUUUCAACAUAAAAGAACAACUGAAUGAUUUUCUGGAAUACAUCUAUGAAUCUCCUUCUAUGAUUGAUAGACAAGAGGAAAAGUUUAGCUGGAUCACUCACCCUGCUAUUAAGAGUUUCCUUCAAGUCUACAGUCGUCGCUUUAUCAACAUUGACUUGUUUGACAGUAUAGCUUUACGUGAGCAUGAGUUCAACCGUUACUUCAACCCAAUUUGGAACUCUCCAGAUAUCAGUGAAUUCCUUGAAAGAACGAAGCUCCAUCAAGACAGACUUUGUAGUGCUUGUGCCGGAGCUGGUGCGUCUAACUGCACCGAGACUAUGCAGGAACCCUUCUCUGACUACCAGGGAAGUCUGGAGUGUCUGAGUAACCAAGCUGGUGAUAUUUCUUUCCUUGAAGCCCACACAGCUCAGAGAAUGCUUAGGUCGGCCAGAAUAUUGCCAAGUGAGGUUGUCAUGGUGUGUCACUCUGGUGAGGUGAUUGAUUUCACCAUAGAUGAAGAAAUUCUGAAGGAGUGCAGCUUUGGUGCUGUGCCUCACUCAGCUCUUCUGACUGCAUAUAACAGGACAGUUCCAGCCUAUUCCUCUUAUCAACCAGACUUAUGAAGUUUAUCUGGGACCUAUGCUACUGCGCUCUUUUGAAGCCCUUGUUAAACCCUCUUCUUAUGAUUGGUGGAAGAACAAGACCAAUGUAUGUUGGGGUGAGACCUACACCAAUGUCUUGACUCAGAGGAAUGGCACCUGCAAUGCUAUUGUUA
rnacentral:misc_RNA from 1 species